UACGUAGGGUGCAAGCGUUAAUCGGAAUUACUGGGCGUAAAGCGUGCGCAGGCGGUUUUGUAAGUCUGACGUGAAAUCCCCGGGCUCAACCUGGGAAUUGCGUGGGAGACUGCAAGGCUAGAAUCUGGCAGAGGGGGGUAGAAUUCCACGUGUAGCAGUGAAAUGCGUAGAGAUGUGGAGGAACACCGAUGGCGAAGGCAGCCCCCUGGGUCAAGAUUGACGCUCAUGCACGAAAGCGUGGGGAGCAAACAGG
rnacentral:rRNA from 1 species